GAUGAACGCUAGCGGCAGGCUUAAUACAUGCAAGUCGAGGGGCAGCAUAGGUAGCAAUACUUGAUGGCGACCGGCAAACGGGUGCGGAACACGUACGCAACCUUCCUUUAAGUGGAGAAUAGCCCGGGGAAACCCGGAUUAAUACUCCGUAACAUUUUGAAGUGGCAUCACUUUACAAUUAUAGAUUUAUCGCUUAAAGAUGGGCGUGCGCCUGAUUAGGCAGUUGGCGGGGUAACGGCCCACCAAACCUACGAUCAGUAACUGGCGUGAGAGCGCG
rnacentral:rRNA from 1 species